rnacentral:rRNA from 1 species
UUAAGCAUAUCAAUAAGCGGAGGAAAAGAAACUAACAAGGAUUCCCCUAGUAACGGCGAGUGAAGUGGGAAAAGCUCAACUUUGUAAUCUGGCUCUUUCAGAGUCCGAGUUGUAGUCUCGAGAAGCAUCAUCCGCGCCGGACCUUGGAUAUGUCUGUUGGAAAACAGCGUCAUAGAGGGUGACAAUCCCGUUUGUGCCAAGGACGCCCGUGUGCAUUGCGGUGUGCUUUCUAAGAGUCGAGUUGUUUGGGAAUGCAGCUCAAAUUGGGUGGUAAAUUCCAUCUAAAGCUAAAUAUUGGCGAGAGACCGAUAGCGAACAAGUACCGUGAGGGAAAGAUGAAAAGCACUUUGGAAAGAGAAUGAAACAGUAUGUGAAAUUGCUGGAAGGGAAACGUUUGAAGUUAGACUUGCUUUUGUCACAUUCAGCCUUUUAGGUGUACUUGUGGCUUGUGCAGGCCAGCAUCGGUUUGCUUUGCGGUAUAAGGGUGCAUGGGAUGUAGCUGCCUCGGCAGUGUUAUAAACUUGCACUGGAUGCCGAAUCGCAGACCGAGGUUCGCAGCGCGCCUUUUUUGGCAAUGGGCUUGCCCAUCGAGCGCUUAGGAUGCUGGUAGAAUAGCUUUAACCGACCCGUCUG